rnacentral:rRNA from 1 species
GAUGAACGCUGGCGGCGUGCCUAGCACAUGCAAGUCGAGCGAUUCUCUUCGGAGAAGAGCGGCGGACGGGUGACUAACGCGUGGGUAACCUGCCCUGGACACACGGAUAACAUACCGAAAGGUAUGCUAAUACGAGAUAAUAUGGUUUUACGGCAUGGUAUAAGCAUCAAAGCUCCGGCGGUACAGGAUGGACUCGGGUGUGAUUAGCUAGUUGGUAAGGUAACGGCUUAACAAGGAGAGGAUCAGUAGCCGACCUGAGAGGGUGAUCGGCCACAUUGGAACUGAGACACGGUCCAAACAACUACGGGAGGCAGCAGUGGGGAAUAUUGCACAAUGGGCGAAAGCCUGAUGCAGCAACGCCGCGUGGGCGAUGAAGGCCUUCGGGUCGUAAAGCUCUGUCCUCAAGGAAGAUAAUGACGGUACUUGAGGAGGAAGCCCCGGCUAACUACGUGCCAGCCGCCGCCGUAA